UACGUAGGGUGCGAGCGUUAAUCGGAAUUACUGGGCGUAAAGCGUGCGCAGGCGGUUCGUCAAGUCUGAUGUGAAAGCCCCGGGCUCAACCUGGGAAUGGCAUGGGAAACUGACGGGCUGGAGUAUGGCAGAGGGGGGUGGAAUUCCGCGUGUAGCAGUGAAAUGCGUAGAGAUGCGGAGGAACACCGAUGGCGAAGGCAGCCCCCUGGGCCAAUACUGACGCUCAGGCACGAAAGCGUGGGGAGCAAACAGG
rnacentral:rRNA from 1 species